AGAGUUUGAUCCUGGCUCAGGAUGAACGCUAGCUACAGGCUUAACACAUGCAAGUCGAGGGGCAGCAUGAACUUAGCUUGCUAAGUUUGAUGGCGACCGGCGCACGGGUGAGUAACACGUAUCCAACCUUCCGUUUACUCAGGGAUAGCCUUUCGAAAGAAAGAUUAAUACCUGAUAGUAUGGUGAGAUUGCAUGAUAGCACCAUUAAAGAUUUAUUGGUAAACGAUGGGGAUGCGUUCCAUUAGGUAGUAGGCGGGGUAACGGCCCACCUAGCCGACGAUGGAUAGGGGUUCUGAGAGGAAGGUCCCCCACAUUGGAACUGAGACACGGUCCAAACUCCUACGGGAGGCAGCAGUGAGGAAUAUUGGUCAAUGGGCGAGAGCCUGAACCAGCCAAGUAGCGUGAAGGAUGAAGGUCCUACGGAUUGUAAACUUCUUUUAUACGGGAAUAAAGUAUCCUACGUGUAGGAUUUUGUAUGUACCGUAUGAAUAAGCAUCGGCUAACUCCGUGCCAGCAGCCGCGGU
rnacentral:rRNA from 1 species